GUAUAACUUGCCCUAUCCCCAAAUCGGUAUGAACUCUCUCUCUCUCAAAUCGAUUUUGAUCGAUCGUUGAUGAAGAUUUGAAGAUUUCAAUCUGCUGUUGAUGAAGAUUUCGAUUGAUUCAUGAUCGUUAUGAUUACAAAAGGGAAUAUCAAUUGGGACUUGAGACUACCAUCCUUGUUAAGAAUUAUACUGUAAGUUUAU